rnacentral:rRNA from 1 species
GGCCUACCAUGGUGGUAACGGGUAACGGGGUGUUAGGGCACGACACCGGAGAGGGAGCCUGAGAAACGGCUACCACAUCCAAGGAUGGCAGCAGGCGCGCAAAUUACCCAAUCCCGACACGGGGAGGUAGUGACAAUAAAUAACAAUACGGGGCUCUUUAGGGUCUCGUAAUUGGAAUGAGUACAAUUUAAAUCUCUUAACGAGGAACAAUUGGAGGGCAAGUCUGGUGCCAGCAGCCGCGGUAAUUCCAGCUCCAAUAGCGUAUAUUAAAGUUGUUGCAGUUAAAAAGCUCGUAGUUGAAUUUCGGGGUCAGCAGGUUGGUCGUGCCACUGGUAUGCACUGGUUUCGCUGAUUCCUCCUUUCUGAAGAACUGUAAUGCCAUUAAUUUGGUGUUGCAGGGAAACAGGACUGUUACUUUGAAAAAAUUAGAGUGUUUAAAGCAGGCUAACGCUUGAAUACAUUAGCAUGGAAUAAUGAAAUAGGACGUUUGAUCCUAUUUUGUUGGUUUCUAGGAUUGACGUAAUGAUUAAUAGGGAUAGUUGGGGGCAUUAGUAUUCAAUUGUCAGAGGUGAAAUUCUUGGAUUUAUUGAAGACUAACUACUGCGAAAGCAUUUGCCAAGGAUGUUUUCAUUAAUCAAGAACGAAAGUUAGGGGAUCGAAGACGAUCAGAUACCGUCGUAGUCUUAACCAUAAACUAUGCCGACUAGGGAUCGGAUGAUGUUAAUUUUUUUAAUGACUCACUCGGCGCCCUUACG